rnacentral:rRNA from 1 species
CCUACGGGAGGCAGCAGUAGGGAAUAUUGCUCAAUGGGGGAAACCCUGAAGCAGCGACGCCGCGUGGGGGAUGAAGGUUUUCGGAUUGUAAACUCCUUUUGUUAGAGAAGAUACUCACGGUAUCUAACGCCUACACACCGGCCAACUCCGUUCCAGCAGCCGCGGUCAUACGGGGGGUGCAAGCGUUACUCGGAAUCACUGGGCGUAACGAGCGCGUAGGCGGGAUAGCAAGUCAGAUGUGAAAUCCUAUGGCUUAACCAUAGAACUGCAUUGGAAACUGUUAUUCUAGAGUAUGGGAGAGGUAGGUGGAAUUCUUGGUGUAGGGGUAAAAUCCGUAGAGAUCAAGAGGAAUACUCAUUGCGAAGGCGACCUGCUAGAACAUAACUGACGCUGAUGCGCGAAAGCGUGGGGAGCAAACAGGAUUAGAUACCCCGGUAGUC